GGUUCACUGCUGCGUUGGUGACUGCCAAUAUAGUUUUUUUGAUCUAUGCUUGAGUUACGUGGGAGUUAUAACCGCUUGCGUGGCAGUAAACCGAGCAUUGCACUCGGAAACUUAAAACGCGAAGCCCCAAUUCCCCCCUGGGUUUCCCAGGUCAAAAGCUGAGGUAAGACGGCGUGGCGGUGAAUCC
rnacentral:other from 1 species